rnacentral:rRNA from 1 species
UACGUAGGGUGCAAGCGUUAAUCGGAAUACUGGGCGUAAAGCGUGCGCAGGCGGUUCUAUAAGACAGAUGUGAAAAUCCCCCGGGCUCAACCUGGGAACUGCAUUUGUGACUGUAGAGCUGGAGUACGGUAGAGGGGGAUGGAAUUCCGCGUGUAGCAGUGAAAUGCGUAGAUAUGCGGAGGAACACCGAUGGCGAAGGCAAUCCCCUGGACCUGUACUGACGCUCAUGCACGAAAGCGUGGGGAGCAAACAGG